CUUCGAGCAAUAGAUAUUUCGUGUUCACUUUUUCAUGUUUCAUUACACCAUAAGCAACAGAUCUUAAUCCUUCAAUCAUAUAUAAUCUUCCAUUGCAUCCAGCAUCCUUCUCUUGUGGAAUUGACCGGAGUGAUUGAUAACUUUGAUGUUCUUUGAUGUUCAUUGUUUUUCGAAUAAAGUAAUUAAACCAGAAAAUAUACAAUUCAGAAAAGUAAAUUUAAUUGAAAUCAUGAAACACUAAAUCUGUCUGAAGAGAUGCUUCAAGAUUCUGUUUCCCGAAAACCUAUUGAUUUGAAUCAAAAUGAAUGUAUAAAUUCUCAUCUUUAUACCACAUUAGAAAAUGUCAAUGGUUAUUCGUUCUAAUUGGGAUGAAAACAAAUCUCAACAUCUUUAUGAAAAAUUUCAAUGACGAAAUAACGGCAUUUUUAAACCUUCCAAGUCAAAUUGCUUCAGCAUUUUCCAUAUUACCUCUUGUAAGACAUCAUAUAUCAGUAUUAUCAAAAAUAUCUGAUUUCAAAACCAUCAUUGAUGAUGUAUU
rnacentral:lncRNA from 1 species